ACAGUAAUGCAAUAAUGACAGACAUUGUCUACAUAUGAAAUUAAAGCUAUAUAAUGUGAAAAGCAUAAUGCAAAGCAUAUUAAUCUUAAAUACUGCUGUAUCACUAAUAAUUUUGGUUCAAUCUACUGUUCUCUUUUCAGUUUAGUUCUGAUGACAGAAUUAAUUUCUAUGUCACAAAAUUCUAAGAACACUGAAUAGAAAACUCUCCUUCAGUAUGACUGUAACAAAACAAAACAAAUGUUUGUUGGUUCUCUGGAAUAUUUACAUUAUUUUGAUCUUGAAAGGUUAUGCUCAGCUUUUAAUUCACCACAAAUAAUUAAUAAAAUAAAACAAGAACAAUAACAGGUCAGUAGUUAACAGCAGAUUAUUGCCUAGAGCAAGACUAUAACAACACAGAAUAAUACAAGAUUCCUAUUUCACAAUAUGAAUAUUAGAAGACUAUUUAUUCGUUAGUUUAAUGGUCUAACAGAGAGUUCAGCAAGAGAGCAGCAUUUAAACAAAGACUCAUAAACUUUCAUAGAAGAUUCAUAAACCUUCAUAAGCAAGUAGCCCUUUUAAACAUUAGAUUUUAAGAUAAACAGUAGAUUUUCAGUUAAAGACACCCUCGAAAUAAUGACUUACAAAUAAAAAAGGACUAAAAGAGAAUACUGCAAGAGAAGAGAGUAAGAAGUACUUACAGAUGACUUCUGUUGGAAUGGAUCUACAACGAUGACUUUUUGUAGAGCUCAACUCCAGUCCCGGGACCCACAGUGCUGCACAUUUUGUUUGUCUCUCUAAUCCGACAGAUUGUUUAAACAUUAAACAAGGGAGACAAACCGAGUAAAAUAUGGACCAGAAUCAAGAAAUACAGGUUUGCAGGCAAACAGAAUCAUAGGAGAAGGUCCACCCAUGAGGAUGAGUGUCUUCUGGAGGUGGAGGAAGGGGGUUCUUAACUGCUGUUUAUGGGUCUGUCCCAAUACACACACUUGUGGUCUAGGCCACUUUAAGCUCAUUGUCCUUCAUGGACACUAUAUUCACAUCUCUAACACUGCAUCAGGGCAGUAUUUAAGGUUAAGCAUAACCCAUCAAAAUCAAGAGAAGAAAAACAGUGUGUGUAAAAUUAUUUUUAUAUUUAUAUUUAAUUUGGUAG
ensembl:lncRNA